UGCGGAUCUGGUACAUAGGACCUUUUGCUUCGUGACCUCUCCAGUUUCCCCUCAAGAUUUGCACAAGAGCUUCGCUUGAGGCAAAUUGAUAUGCUCAGUGAAGGGAUUACUGGAAGUUCUCGAACACUCUCCAAGAUGACAAAAACACUGAGGAGAGUCAUAAACGAAAGGCCAGCAUCCAAAGACGCAUCUUCACUGUUGACAUUGAGGCUGGGGUUUUGCAGUAUGGACGAGGAAGGUUUGCACAGACAUGGGCUAGAAGAAAGUGGGUGUUCGGGAUUCUUGGCGUUUCACAAAGAAGAAGGAGGCCCAUUCUGAGACUGGUUAAGCGUAGGUCUAGACAUCACCUGGUACCCUUAAUUGAGCGGCAUGUGUAUCCUGGAGGCCAAAUCAUCAGUGACGAAUGGCGGGCUUACAGAGGCAUACUCACCAGGCUUCGCUAUCAGCAUUUCACUGUGAACCACAGACAAUGGUUUGUGGACCCAAGAACAGGAGGCCAUACAAAAAUCUAGAGAGAGCAUGGUCAACUUUCAAAGGGUGUGUAUGGCGGAUGAGAGGGAACAGAACUGAGUCCAUGCUAAAAUCCUAAUUGAGUGGACCUAUUGGCUUGGCAACCGCCACAGAGAUGGUCCACUUGGGAGAUUGUUGAAGGACAUUCGGCACAUGUUCCACUUAUAAGGUGUAUCAUUUGUAGAUCAUGCAUGUAAUCAUAGGGAAAUUCAUUAGCUUUGUUAGGUUCUGUUUGUGCUCGGUUUAGAUUUUGCUUUUGUUUUUUACUGUGGUCUGUUUGGUUUUGGUCCUUUGAUAUUGAAUGCAGCUUGUCCUUUAGUAUUAUUUUUUG